rnacentral:rRNA from 1 species
GACGAACGCUGGCGGCGUGCCUAAUACAUGCAAGUCGAGCGAAGUGGAGAGAGCUUGCUCUCAAAGCUUGGCGGCGAACGGGUGAGUAACACGUGGGCAACCUGCCUGACAGACCGGGAUAACUUGGGGAAACUCAAGCUAAUACCGGAUAGGAUCGCAAACCGCAUGGAUUGCGAUGGAAAGUCUGAACGACACUGUCAGAUGGGCCCGCGGCGCAUUAGCUAGUUGGUGGGGUAAUGGCCUACCAAGGCGACGAUGCGUAGCCGACCUGAGAGGGUGACCGGCCACACGGGGACUGAGACACGGCCCAGACUCCUACGGGAGGCAGCAGUAGGGAAUCUUCCACAAUGGGCGAAAGCCUGAUGGAGCAACGCCGCGUGAGUGAUGAAGGUUUUCGGAUCGUAAAACUCUGUUGUUAGGGAAGAACACCCGGGAGAGGAUCCCGGUUUGACGGUACCUAACGAGGAAGCCCCGGCUAACUACGUGCCAGCAGCCGCCGUAAUAC